GAACGCCCGGUGAAGCGAAAGUUUCACGCCGGGUGUGAAUCAGGGGAAAAGGGAGUCCGAACGGCGCAAAAUGCGUGCGAGGAUGCCCCUUACCUACUGGUAC
rnacentral:ncRNA from 1 species